GAUGAACGCUGGCGGCGUGCCUAAUACAUGCCAGUCGAGCGAACGGACGAGAAGCUUGCUUCUCUGAUGUUAGCGGCGGACGGGUGAGUAACACGUGGAUAACCUACCUAUAAGACUGGGAUAACUUCGGGAAACCGGAGCUAAUACCGGAUAAUAUUUUGAACCGCAUGGUUCAAAAGUGAAAGACGGUCUUGCUGUCACUUAUAGAUGGAUCCGCGCUGCAUUAGCUAGUUGGUAAGGUAACGGCUUACCAAGGCAACGAUGCAUAGCCGACCUGAGAGGGUGAUCGGCCACACUGGAACUGAGACACGGUCCAGACUCCUACGGGAGGCAGCAGUAGGGAAUCUUCCGCAAUGGGCGAAAGCCUGACGGAGCAACGCCGCGUGAGUGAUGAAGGUCUUCGGAUCGUAAAACUCUGUUAUUAGGGAGGAACAUAUGUGUAAGUAACUGUGCACAUCUUGACGGUACCUAAUCAGAAAGCCACGGCUAACUACGU
rnacentral:rRNA from 1 species